ensembl:lncRNA
AUCUCUUGCACUCCUCUGCGUUUGACUUUUUGGGAGGCUGGUGAUUGGUGUUGGAAAAAGAAGCUGCAGGCUUUCUAACCAUCAGGCUUGCCUGGGGAUUGUUGCACAGAAGAAUAAGGGACUCGUUAAGUGAUAGAAAAGCAUUAAACAAAUAAUGGCUUCCAGAAAAAGCAGUACUCUCCUAGAAAAGCAAUUUCAGAUUCAACCCACUCUAAGAGAAAAAUCAAAUUGAUUAAAUCACUUUUCAAGAAAGAAAACAAAAAAAAGCUUGAAGCUGCUCAUGGUGGCCCAUGCCUGUAAUCCUAACACUCUGGGAGAUGGAGUCAAGAAGAUGAAAUAUUCAUGCAUUCAGAUGUUUGCUUGGGACCAGUGCUCUCCAGUAGAACUUCCUGCCAUGAUGAAAAAGUAUCUGUGCUGUCCAUGAUGAUAGCCACAAAAUACAUGGAGUAAUGGACCACUUCCACUGUGGCCAGUGCAACUGAGGGACUCAACUUCUAAUUUUAAUUAAUUUAAAAUUAAAUUGCCAUAUAUUUAAUGGUUCAAAUGUAUAUUAUAUUAAAUGUCAUAUACUUGAAAUUCAUUUUUCCUG